AUGCCGGGAGGGAGAGUUUGCCCCCAGGAAAGGUUGGGGGCAGCCCCCCAGUUCAGGCCCUGGGGUUGGGGGGGGGGGCAGCUCUCACCCCGCUUGGAUUUGGAAGGUCCCCGUCACCCCAAAAUUCAGGCACCGCCGCCCUGGGGGCAUGGCGUGGCACUGCCGCCGAGUGUUUUUUGGGGUGCCGCGGGAUUCUCUGCUCCCCAAAUCACGAGAGGAGCCCCGGCAGGAGUCUGGGGGGCCGGCCGGGGGCUGACGGUGCCUCCCCCCCCCCCCCCGGCUCCGCCACCUCUCCCUGCCCCAGAGAUGGCCCUGCCGCUGGAACGCCCGGACUCUGACCUACCCCAGGACCUGCCCUCCGGCUACCUCUGCCGCCAGCGCCGUUCCCUGCCCACCUUCCCGCUGCCCCCCGGCCCCCAGACCCCCGCCGAGCUCAGGAGCAGCUCGGACGUUCUCUGUGCUGGCCGGUUCCCGGCGGGACUCAGCCAGUUGGUGACCGGCAUGCAGACCCCGGUCUUGCCGCGACGCCGGGGCAGCCCGCCGGCACCGGAGAGCGGCUGGGGAGGCGCGGGGCGGUGAGGGCAGCCCCCUCCCCGCUCCAUGCGAGGCGAGGGUGUGAAAUAAAGACACCCCGCUCCUCCUUCAAGGCGACUGCCGUGGCCGGGCUUUUGGUGCUGGGGGGGUCCCCCGGGGGGUGAGGGGGUCGGCCCGGUCCCGGGGCCUCGCCUCGAGGGCUGCCGUCGGCAGCGUGCGCGUCUACACGGGGUUCUACGGUCACUGGGCUGUGCCCGGGGAGGGCGGGGGAAAGACCAAAGCAGCCAAUCGGUUGGCAGGGAUUGUUGAUCGGCAUCCGGCUAGGCGAAUCGCGAGAGGGGUUUUUUUCUCCCCUCCCCGCCCGGCUUCCCUCCGAGUCGCUUCUUCGUCUGGGUUGGUCGAUCUGGGGGAGUGGCGGGUGCGCUGUCCAAUGAGAGGGAGGGCGGGUGGGGAGAGGCGAAUGAAGUCGUCGGUCUCCUUCGGGUGGCGGUUCGCUAGCUUUCCGGAGCGGCAGUCGUUUCUGCCAAUGAAAUGGCAGGAGCGCUGUCGGGGGCCGGGAGCUACAGCGGCACCGCCUCAGCUGACAGGCCAGCUCCACCUCCCAUUGGCCGCUAGGGAUGAGCGGCGCGGUGGGCGGCCAAUGGAGCGGUAGAGAAGGGGGCGUAGCUUCCCCCUCUCCCACCCUCCCUGCCGACUGACAGCCCGCUGCUCCGCUCCGCUCGGCUGGUUCCUCUGAUGGGCGGCCGAGCCGGCCAAUGGCCGCGCGGCCUGAGGGGAACGGGGCGGGCCCGGCGGAGCGGCGCCCCGGGGGUGUCGCCAGUGCCGGAUGAGGAGACUCGGAGGGGAAGUUUGGUCGCCGCCGCCGCGGGCCCUGUGAGGAGGAGCCGCCGCCGGGAGAGCGGGAGCGUGGUCCCGUCCCCU
ensembl:lncRNA